GAUGAACGCUAGCUACAGGCUUAACACAUGCAAGUCGAGGGGUAGCAGGGUAGCAAUACCGCUGACGACCGGCGCACGGGUGAGUAACACGUAUCCAACCUUCCCAUAACUCAGGGAUAGCCUUUCGAAAGAAAGAUUAAUACCUGAUAGUACUUAAGAAAGGCAUCUUUUUUAAGUUAAAGAUUUAUUGGUUAUGGAUGGUGAUGCGUUCCAUUAGAUAGUUGGUGAGGUAACGGCUCACCAAGUCUUCGAUGGAUAGGGGUUCUGAGAGGAAGGUCCCCCACAUUGGUACUGAGACACGGACCAAACUCCUACGGGAGGCAGCAGUGAGGAAUAUUGGUCAAUGGGCGAGAGCCUGAACCAGCCAAGUAGCGUGAAGGAUGAAGGUCCUAUGGAUUGUAAACUUCUUUUAUAGUAGAAUAAAGUGAGCCACGUGUGGUUUUUUGUAUGUAUACUAUGAAUAAGGAUCGGCUAACUCCGUGCCAGCCGCCGCCGUAA
rnacentral:rRNA from 1 species